GUGAGCGGGAGGCCAGGGCAUGGUAGGGGGAGCUGCAGGGCCAUCGGAGGGGCCCCAGUGUCUGAGCCGUGUCCUCUCGCAGG
rnacentral:pre_miRNA from 10 species